CCUACGGGGGGCUGCAGUGGGGAGUAUUGGACAAUGGGGGGAACCCUGAUCCAGCCAUGCCGCGUGUGUGAAGAAGGCCCUCGGGUUGUAAAGCACUUUCAGUGAGGAAGAACGCCUGGUGGUUAAUACCCAUCAGGAAAGACAUCACUCACAGAAGAAGCACCGGCUAACUCCGUGCCAGCAGCCGCGGUAAUACGGAGGGUGCGAGCGUUAAUCGGAAUUACUGGGCGUAAAGCGCGCGUAGGUGGCUUGAUAAGCCGGUUGUGAAAGCCCCGGGCUCAACCUGGGAACGGCAUCCGGAACUGUCAAGCUAGAGUGCAGGAGAGGAAGGUAGAAUUCCCGGUGUAGCGGUGAAAUGCGUAGAGAUCGGGAGGAAUACCAGUGGCGAAGGCGGCCUUCUGGACUGACACUGACACUGAGGUGCGAAAGCGUGGGUAGCAAACAGGAUUAGAUACCCCUGUAGUC
rnacentral:rRNA from 1 species